CUCAUAUCCAGAGAGGUGGAGGGUCUGGCCCUAUGAAACCCGGCAACCGGCUUUUUAUAAAGCAGCGGUGCCAAUUCCUGCAGUAUGAAAAUACUGAAAGAUGUGAG
rfam:Geosporobacter ferrireducens strain IRF9, complete genome.